rnacentral:misc_RNA from 1 species
UUAACGAUUAUAUAGAACUCAGACAUCACUAAAUUGCAGGGUUUAAGUCUCUGGCGGACACUCUCCAGCCGAAGCCGGGGCGCACCUUGCGGCACGCGGACCGCCAAAGCAACAUUUGUAUAGUAUUCAAGGGUGGAGGGGUGUAGCCUGGGGGUUUUAUGCCCGGGGCUACGUCUCACUGUAAUGAUCCUUCCGCAGGUUCACCUACGGAAA